UGGAUUCAGGAAGCCCGGGUUCAUUCACUGC
rnacentral:piRNA from 1 species